UUGAUACCAAAAAAUGUCAAAUUGUCGAUUUCUCUCUUUUCGGAAAUUUCUUGACAUCGAAAAAGAGAGGAUGUAGCAAUAUGGCGACAUCAAUCACGUGAGUGGAAGCGAAAAGGAUAUAUUCGAAAUUCGAAUUGGGCUAAUUCGAACAUGUUGUCUCGCUUGCACUAGGAUGCGUUUUAGUGGAUUUUUUGCCACUUGAAUUUUAUUUUGAUGCAGGUCGGACGUGCAUGGUCAGUGUAGUGUUUCUCCAAGUUGAAAAAAACAGAAAAAAUGACGGAGUCUGAAAAGGAAGGACUAUUAAGUUUCUUGACUGAUCAGGACCUACCAAUGUCCUGUUACGACUGUCUUAUUGAUUGUUGUUUUACUUUCCAAAGGCUCAAAUAUAUAAACGAUAGCGACUUGCUGCAUAUAUUCCCAAAAAGAGAGCAGUGCGGGAUUC